GCCAGGUGCGGUGGCACACACCUGUAAUUCCAGCAGCUCUGGAGGCUGAAACAGGAGGAUCAUGAGUUCAAAGCCAGUCUCAGCAACAGCAAGGCGCUAAGCAACUCAGUGAGACCCUGUCUCUA
rnacentral:sRNA from 1 species